AGAGGUAUGGCUCAGUGGUAAAGCACUCACCUGGCAAGUGUAAAGCCCUUAGUUCAAAUCUCAGGACCACUA
rnacentral:tRNA from 1 species